ensembl:lncRNA
GUAGAAGUAACAGCUGCAAAAUGAAAUUUCAGUGGUUCAUGUUCAGAGCUCUGUGGAUUCUCCUCAUUUUACCAACUUUCAGUGGAGAAAGCCUGUGCAAAAGUGAACUUUUACCAAGCAGUAACAUUUCUACUGAGCUCCAGUCUGAUGUCCUGCUGCCGUGUAACUUUAAUACAACUCUCCUCGGAUCAGAUAAGACUGCAGAUAUAUCAGUAGUGUGGAGUCAGAGGAACACAACAAUACACUAUCUAGUGGAGAUCACUCUACAGGGAAAUUGAUGUUUUGGGAUACUAAACGUGGACGUAUCAAGACGUUCGCUAAGCUCUCUGAAUCAGGAAACUUCUCCAUUCUCCUUCAGAAAGUUCAGCCGUAUGAUCUGGGUCUCUACCUCUGUGAGCUGUUUAACGGGACCGGCUGCAGAAUCGCGUAUCAGGAGCUUCACCUAAACAGAUGGACGAGCAUGAAUAUAGUGGUAUCUCUACCUAUAUGGCCCUUUAUAGCAGCAGGAGGAGGAGCUGCUGCUCUCAUCCUUCUUGUGGUUUUAAUCUGUUUAAUAAAGUGUGCUUGUUCCAAUGCAUCAAAUAAACACAUCUAUGCAAACUCAAGAUUUGAAAAAAGAAAUGACAAAGAGUGCAGUGAAGAGAAACACAGCAGCAAUCAGCAUGCAGCUAAGGCUAGAAAUAAGGUUGAUGUCAACAAGCCUCCAAACCACAGUAACAUCUACGCCAACAGCCACAUGGAAGCUGAAACGAUUUAUGCCAACCAGCCACACUGUAACUAACUAUGAGGUUCUAAAUGGAAGUGUAAUUUAUACAGUAUUCAAUGUGUACAGUACUCUGAAUGUUCUUGCACCGUCCCACUCUUUAUGCAGAGAUUCUUGUACCGAUUCCACAGUCUAGUGGAAAGCCUUCCCAGAAGAGUGUAGGUUAUUAUAACAGUAAAGGGGGAAUAAAUCUGUAAUGGGAUGUUCAACACACAAUUGUGGGUGUGAUGGUCAGGUGUCCACAUACAUUUGCCCAUAUAGUGCAUAUCCUUCAUGUUAAGGUUUGUAGAUGAGAACCAUUUUCUACUUCAUCAGUAAUAAUUAUGUCUCUCUCUCUCUCUCUCUCUCUCUCUCUCUCUCUCUCUCUCUCUCUCUCUCUCUCUCUCUCUCUACUAUCCAUCCACUCAUACCCCUAUCUAUUCGGAGCAUAACAACAUAGAAAGACAACAGUUUAAAUGAAUCAAUACAACAAUUGAUUAAUCAUAAAUGUAUUAUUAGAGAAAAAGGACAAACAACUGGUGUGCAAAAGUAAUUCAUAUUUUUAAACUGGUGAGGUGAUUUGCCUGUAACUCUGAUAGUUUGGAAAUUGUCCUUCCCUACAUCAUCACUUGUGACAUAACAGCAGGCCUCUUGAGAUUCUGAACACAGUAGGUCACAUAUUGAUCGUAGCAGAGUCAAUGGUAUCGUCAAAUAUCGAAUCAUUGCCUUAUGAAUUGAAAUUGUAUUGUAUCGUGUGAAAGCCUGAGGUUUACACCCCUACUAUCCUUCCAGCUAUCCAAGUCCCCAUAAUUCCAUUCCCAUUGCUUUUACUUGAACAUAUUUUCAAUAGCAUAGGGUCAAAAUUGAAAUUGAAAUUCGAAUAAAAGUUUAUCACAUAGAGAAGUCGAUAUGCAGUUUUGAAUCAUUUGAAACUUUUACAUGCUUAAUAUUAGCAAACCAGUGUCUUCAAAAACAUGUUAAAUACUGUAAAGUGAAAUCUCUAUCAUUUCUUUAGUGCCAUAUUUUAUCUUCAGCCUGUUUAUCAAUCAGGUAAAUAAGAUUUCAGCACACAUUACGACAUCAUGCUGUAACCAUGCACCUGCUACAGACUCAAUGCACUUUGGCCUCUGAUCCAAGAAUUACUGUCCUGUCCCCAUAUGGUAAACUCACUUGAUGGAGACGAGCUGAUGAAGUAAAACAUGAUAGGAGCCGAUGCUGUACUAGAAAAUAAUUUUUAUGUGAUUGUACUGUCUUGGAUUGUAUUUAAUUUUUGUUCCACUUCAUUAAAGAACUACAAACGUGAAUACUGAAUACUGUUUACUGAUUUAGUUGUGAUAGGCUCCAUGUGAUUUGGUCUAUCAUUAUUGAAGGUUACAUCGAGAAACUAUUUUAGAUUAUUUUGUGUGUCUUUGC